AGCAGCCGCGGUAAUUCCAGCUCCAAUAGCGUAUAUUAAAGUUGUUGCAGUUAAAAAGCUCGUAGUUGAAUUUCGGGAUUCUACCGUUGGUCGGGCUAUUGUCUGUACUGGCGUGUAGAAUUUCUACCUUCUGGGGAACUAUCAUGUUAUUAAUUUAGCGUGGUAGGAAACCAGGACCUUUACCUUGAAAAAAUUAGAGUGUUCAAAGCAGGCUUAUGUCUGAAUACAUUAGCAUGGAAUAAUAAAAUAGGACGGUGGUCCUGUUUUGUUGGUUUCUGAAUCACCGUAAUGAUUAAUAGGGAUAGUUGGGGGCAUUAGUAUUCAAUUGUCAGAGGUGAAAUUCUUGGAUUUAUUGAAGACUAACUACUGCGAAAGCAUUUGCCAAGGAUGUUUUCAUUAAUCAAGAACGAAAGUUAGGGGAUCGAAGACGAUCAGAUACCGUCGUAGUCUUAACCAUAAACUAUGCCGACUAGGGAUCGGACGAUGUUAACUUUUCUUGACUCGUUCGGCGCCUUACGGG
rnacentral:rRNA from 1 species